CCUACGGGUGGCAGCAGUGAGGAAUAUUGGUCAAUGGGCGAGAGCCUGAACCAGCCAAGUCGCGUGAAGGAUGAAGGAUCUAUGGUUUGUAAACUUCUUUUAUAUGGGCAUAAAGUUAGGAACGUGUUCCUUUUUGUAUGUAACAUAUGAAUAAGCAUCGGCUAACUCCGUGCAAGCGGCCGCGGUAAUACGGAGGAUGCGAUAGUUAUCCGGAUUUAUUGGGUUUAAGGGGUGCGUAGGGGGUUAAUUAAGUCAGCGGUGAAAGUUUGUGGCUCAAUCAUAAAAUUGCCGUGGAAACUGGUUGACUUGAGUACAUUUGAGGUAGGCGGAAUGCGUGGUGUAGCGGUGAAAUGCAUAGAUAUCACGCAGAACUCCGAUUGCGAAGGCAGCUUACUAAGCUAUAACUGACACUGAAGCACGAAAGCAUGGGGAGCAAACAGGAUUAGAUACCCGGGUAGUC
rnacentral:rRNA from 1 species